UGAAUUUUCUAGGAUUGCUAAAGAAUUGCUGAGAUAAGAAUUGGGCUUGGCCCAUUGAAUUUCUAGUCACGCCCAGCGAAACAGGGUUUGGGCCUCCGAGUCCUGACAGCCCCCUCACACGCCGCCUGCGUCUUCUUCCUCACCAUCUACGGCGAGGUGGGGUGGUCCUUGUCGUCCCAAUCGGAGAGCUGCCUCCCGCUCGCCGUCACGAGCGGCACUUCUCGUACGCCCUAGCGCAGACGCCCCUUCCUCGCCUCCGCCCGCGGGCGAUGGAGGGCGGAUCCAGCUCGAAGAAGAGGAGAUGGAGGAAGCGGAAGCUCAAGCAGGAGCGGAAGCCGAACCCCGCGACGCAGCUCACAGACGACCUCCUCGUCGAGAUCCUGUCGCGCGUGCCGUACAGGUCCCUCUGCCGCUUCCGGUGCGUCUCCACGCGCUGGCGCGCGCUGAUCUCCCACCCCGACUACCGAAGGAGGCUCCCCCAGACUCUUGCCGGCAUCUUCCACCGAAGCCCCACCGCAGGUUGUGGAGUUAGUUUUGUAAAUUGAUUUUAUUUAGUAUUUUUAAUUAUUAGUCAAAAUUUGUGUGCUA